rnacentral:rRNA from 1 species
ACGUAGGGGGCAAGCGUUGUCCGGAAUGACUGGGCGUAAAGGGCGUGUAGGCGGCCGAUUAAGUCUGGAGUGUACGUCCUGCUGUCAAGGUGGGAAUUGCUUUGGAGACUGGUUGGCUUGAGUGCGGAAAAGGCAAGUGGAAUUCCCAGUAUAGCGGUGAAAUGCGUAGAGCUUGGGAGGAGCCCCGGUGGCGAAGACGACUUGCUGGGCCGUUACUUAUUCUGAGGCGCGAAAGCGUGGGGAGCGAACAG